rnacentral:tRNA from 1 species
UGGGGCGUAGCCAAGCGGUAAGGCAGCGGUUUUUGGUACCGCCAUUCCCUGGUUCGAAUCCAGGCGCCCCCAGCCA